rnacentral:lncRNA from 1 species
CCGCGCCCGGCCCCACCAGUAUUUUUAGAGAAAAAUCUAUCUCUUUCCUAUUUUUCCCCAUCAAAAGUAUGCACCUGGGCAGGGUGCGGUGGCUCAGGACUGUAAUCCCAGCACUUUAAAAGGCCAAGGUGGGUGGAUCAGUUGAGGUCAGGAGUUCAAGACCAGCCUAGCCAACAUAGAGAAAUCCCGUCUUUACUAAAAAUACAAAAAUGAGCCAGGCGUGGUGGCACAUGCCUGUAGUCCCAGCUACUUGGGGGGCUGAGGCAUGAGAAUCACUGUAACCAAAGAGGCGGAGAUUGCAAUGAGCUGAAAUCGCACCACUGUACUCCAGCCUGGGUGACAGAGAAAGAUUCUGUCUCAAAGAAAAAAAACAAAAAACAAUUCACCGAAAACCAACCAAACAAACAAAACACAAAAAAUAUUUAUCUGUCUCUCUUCUCACAUGCCCAGAAUCCUUAAAUAGUCAAUGAGUUUAGAUUUUUACCAAAGUCUCUGACUUCCACAUUGUAGGUAUCCAGAGGUAAAGAAUGCAAAGGGCCUUGCUACCUUGGGGAAUACAGAGAACAAAAAAUACCAAUUCAGAGAUCAAAAAUUGAUUUUAACACGAUAUCCUGUUGUGUGGUUAUGAAACAGGAAAGGUUCCCUUGUCCUCCUCACAGUGUGUGAGAUAGGGGUGUGGCUCCGAUUGUUCAGUGCCCUGCUGCUCAAACCUCUAUGGGAGCAUACAGACGGGCCAGUUGUGGGGCUCUGACCCCCUGGCAUUGUCUAGGGGUGAAUGUUUACAGCUCCUGAAGCCCCACUGGGAGUGUGCUACAGGGUGCUCUGUUAGUUUGCUGUCUAUAGGCAGCUUGUGUUAACCAGCUCAAUUAGACCCUCUACCUGGUCGCAAAGACAGAUGGCUUUCUGUAUCCUGGGUUCUUGCCUUGGUGUACCGGAAGAAUCAGAUCACACAUGGGAGAAUGAGUGCGAAGUUUUAUCCAGUGGAAGCAGCUCUCCGCCAAUGGAGGAGCCAGAAGGGAGAUGGUUUUCCCCUGGCCUUGCGGUGCUCAGAAGCCCUGGCUCUUCUCCAACUGCCCCGGCCAAACUCUGCUUCAUCCUGCUGGUCGAUGGCCUGCUGGGUCAAUGGCCUGCUGGCCUGCCAGUGCCUGUCGGUGUGCUUUCCUGCCAGUGUGCUCCUCUGGAAGCCCUCUGACUACCAGCCGCUUGUCUCUUCUUCCGCAGUUGAGAAAUAGACGGUCCACAGCGGACAACUUAGAAUGGAAUAAGGGAGAUGUGUUUGAGGCACUACCAUUGGAAGAUGUGCUGGGGAGAAGCCCAGCCCAGCAACAUGCGGCAGGACCACAUCUCGGCAGAGCUGAAGACAGAGACAUUGCAGCGACAAGGACAACUGGCAUGCCUCACAUUCCUCAGUGUUGAAAACAAUAAAAGGAGGGGGAAUGAGAGAAAAAUCAAAUUUCUACGAAGAGAUGUCAGCAGUAAAUUUAAUGCAGGUGCAAUAUUCUCCAAACAAAGGACGUUUUGUUUCUACCGUCUGGGCUCUGUGAAAACCUGCUCCACCUCCUCCUUGCUAUGUGUUUUCCUUUUUAUCUGUGUAAGGUAGAUUAAAAUGUUGAUACCCUUCCCUGGCAAAAGUAUUUUUAAUGUUCUUAGUACAGCUGUUGAAGAAGUAUUAACUUCCCCCAAAGCUUAGCUUCAUUGGGUGUAACAAAGCUUUCUCCCCCUUAAGGUUCAAUUCGUUUGUUGAGCUUUGUCUCUUCCUGAUUGCUUCUGUGAAUUAAUGCAACACUGUUUUUACCACUUGUUCUCUGUUUCUAUGAUAUAAUAAAGGAAAUUAAAAAUGAAAAAAUAAACACUGAUUUUAGCUGAAGUAACAAAUUUAGAAAAUAAAAA